AGAGUUUGAUCCUGGCUCAGAUUGAACGCUGGCGGCAUGCUUUACACAUGCAAGUCGAACGGUAACAGGGAGCUUGCUCCGCUGACGAGUGGCGAACGGGUGAGUAAUGCAUCGGAACGUACCCAGUCGUGGGGGAUAACGUAGCGAAAGUUACGCUAAUACCGCAUACGUCCUGAGGGAGAAAGCGGGGGACCGUAAGGCCUCGCGCGAUUGGAGCGGCCGAUGUCGGAUUAGCUAGUUGGUAGGGUAAAGGCCUACCAAGGCGACGAUCCGUAGCGGGUCUGAGAGGAUGAUCCGCCACACUGGGACUGAGACACGGCCCAGACUCCUACGGGGGGCAGCAGUGGGGAAUUUUGGACAAUGGGCGAAAGCCUGAUCCAGCCAUGCCGCGUGAGUGAAGAAGGCCUUCGGGUUGUAAAGCUCUUUCAGACGGAAAGAAAUCGCAUCUUCUAAUACAGGGUGUGGAUGACGGUACCGUAAGAAGAAGCACCGGCUAACUACGUGCCAGCAGCCGCGGUAAUACGUAGGGUGCGAGCGUUAAUCGGAAUUACUGGGCGUAAAGCGUGCGCAGGCGGUGAUGUAGGACAGAUGUGAAAUCCCCGGGCUCAACCUGGGAACUGCGUUUGUGACUGCAUCACUCGAGUACGGCAGAGGGAGGUGGAAUUCCGCGUGUAGCAGUGAAAUGCAUAGAUAUGCGGAGGAACACCGAUGGCGAAGGCAGCCUCCUGGGCCAGUACUGACGCUCAUGCACGAAAGCGUGGGGAGCAAACAGGAUUAGAUACCCCGGUAGU
rnacentral:rRNA from 1 species